UGGGGGGUAGCCAUAAUAUGUGUAUUGCAGUUGCAGUGAACGAAUUUGACAGGUGUGGUUAUGUUGCCCAUGAUUCGUAUAGGAUUGAACGCUGUGAAACAGGAGUAAUGCAGUGUUAAUGAUAUAUUGGAAGGACAUUUCUCGUGGGUUGGUAUUAGAGCAUUGCAGUGCAAGGAUUAAUCUAUAAAAAUAUUUUCAAUGGUGGGCCAACUUGCGGGGAGAGGAAUUGGCAAUUAUCGGAGGAUUUUGAAGCAUUUGAAGGUGUCAUGCUGAUAUUUGCAGAGACUGGAACUGGAGGCUUUUCUGUGUUUUAAUUAUCUGGGCCCUGCCCAUGUUUUCAAUCGCAUUUUAAUUACGUUGUAGAAGUGACAGUGUUAAUUGAAUAGUUUUUCCCUUGUCCGAUAACUUUAUCCAUUUUGAAUAUGUUUUACUGCUCUAUGCUUAAUUAUUGUUAUCGAAGAUUCAUGUUUACAGCUUGAGCUGGUAAUAGAUUAAUUUUUGAGCCGAUUUAAUUGUUUUUAAUUUAUUUA